rnacentral:rRNA from 1 species
GAGUUUGAUCGUGGCUCAGAUUGAACGCUGGCGGCAUGCCUUACACAUGCAAGUCGAACGGCAGCACGGGAGCUUGCUCCUGGUGGCGAGUGGCGAACGGGUGAGUAAUGCAUCGGAACGUAUCCUGGAGUGGGGGAUAACGUAGCGAAGGUUACGCUAAUACCGCAUAUUCUGUGAGCAGGAAAGCGGGGGACCUUCGGGCCUCGCGCUCUUGGAGCGGCCGAUGUCGGAUUAGCUAGUUGGUGAGGUAAAGGCUCACCAAGGCGACGAUCCGUAGCAGGUCUGAGAGGAUGAUCUGCCACACUGGAACUGAGACACGGUCCAGACUCCUACGGGAGGCAGCAGUGGGAAUUUUGGACAAUGGGGGCAACCCUGAUCCAGCCAUGCCGCGUGAGUGAAGAAGGCCUCGGUUGUAAGUAC